rnacentral:rRNA from 1 species
AUUGAACGCUGGCGGCAUGCUUUACACAUGCAAGUCGAACGGUAACAGGUCUUCGGAUGCUGACGAGUGGCGAACGGGUGAGUAAUGCAUCGGAACGUGCCCAGUCGUGGGGGAUAACGCAGCGAAAGCUGUGCUAAUACCGCAUACGAUCUAUGGAUGAAAGCGGGGGACCGUAAGGCCUCGCGCGAUUGGAGCGGCCGAUGUCAGAUUAGGUAGUUGGUGGGGUAAAGGCCCACCAAGCCAACGAUCUGUAGCUGGUCUGAGAGGACGACCAGCCACACUGGGACUGAGACACGGCCCAGACUCCUACGGGAGGCAGCAGUGGGGAAUCUUGGACAAUGGGCGCAAGCCUGAUCCAGCAAUGCCGCGUGCAGGAAGAAGGCCUUCGGGUUGUAAACUGCUUUUGUACGGAACGAAACGGUCUGGGUUAAUACCCUGGGCUAAUGACGGUACCGUAAGAAUAAGCACCGGCUAACUACGUGCCAGCCGCCGCAGUAACAC